rnacentral:lncRNA from 1 species
CGGCACCGCCCGCUCCUGCCGCCGCCUGGCGCUGGGCCGGGCCCGGCUGCUCGCCUCGACCCUAUCCCCGGGGGGCGCUGCGGCCGCGGGGGCCGUUUCAUGGCGGCCAGACCGUAGGGAAAGGGCCGCCCGGGCGGCGUGGCUGUGUGGGGUUUCACGCUUGUUCCUGAGGAAAGAUUCAUAAAGCGGGGCAAGGCGGAGCCGCAGGAGGUGAACAGUGGCUUCCUGCCCUGCUCUUCGCCCCGAAGGGCCCGUGGCUGCUCUGCAUGCCCACCCUUGGCUGGAGCCUGCCUGCUGCCAGGUAUCUUUGGCCUGCGGUCACUGUGUGUGUGCGUUGUAUAAAGAAAACCCCUCAGCAGUUACCUCGUUCAGGCAGUGUGAAGGCCUAGCUACAGGGGGGUGAUGCGAUACCAUGUUUUUCUUUGUCCUGUAAUAAAGGUAACUCGUCCAUCACUACUUCAUAUGAGCAGUAUGUGUGUGAGGAUUAAUUUCAGCUUUUCCCUGGUUUAGUAUAAGCUUGUACGUGUUUAAGCAGUGGAAAUGCGGCACAUCUGUCUCUUGGUCGUAUGGCAGUCAGCGCCCUGCAGCGGAGCAGCUCUCCAGGGUGUCAGUGCCUCGCCAACACACUGUUGAAGAGAGCAAACUACUGGAAACUGAGGUGUUUUGCAAUUGUGGAAUAUCCUGCCUCCUAGGAUCAAGCACAUUGCUGGAGCAGCAUAGUGAGUUACACUGCGAAUGAACAAACUGAUGUGAUCAGCUACUGAAUGAGAAGCAACUUAACUCCACAACCACUUUCUAGCCAGGAACACCUGAAUGAUGGAUUGAAUACUGUUAUCCACUGGCUGGCUGCAAGAAAACCUAUUCAACUUACAUUUCUUUAAGGUAAUAUUAAAAAGUACCUGGUGGUGUUUUGGUUUGGUUUGGUUUUUAACAUGUUUAACUUCCCUGCCAGGGCUUUCUAAUCAGCCUGUAUGAUGAUGGGUUUAAUCUACAACAAGGUUACCUCAGAAAUACUUUUUAUGUAAGUGGGUGAUUGGUACGUUUUGGCUUUAAGCAGAACUAGUCUCCAUAACAUAAGCUGUCCAG